rnacentral:lncRNA from 1 species
GCACCUCCAUCCUCUCGGUAACCUCCAGCGACUCGGAAUGUGAUACAAGGCCACCUACAUCCCAAGCCAGCUGGAGGAGCAGCUUCCAGUCUUCAGAGAUGGGCCCCUCUUCUUCAGUUGGCCUUGGUAGUCAGGACAGAGGACAGAGGGAUAUAUUGUAACAUAUAUUGUAAAAUUUGAGCCACAUACACGGGAUAAAUGACAACGCAAAUAAUCAUCUCCGAAAAGAAAUCUGACAUCCGACGACUUAGAGG